CAGGACGUCUUUGCAGAGCCGGCGCUGGAAGCGGGGGGACGGGUUGACAUGACUCAGGGGUGGCCGACGUGGGGAGACGGGGCUGGGGCCACCUCUCAGCCUGAGGGACAUGUCUCCAACCCAGCAGCCAGGCUGAGCUUCUCACCAGGACCAGAGAUGUGAAAGAUGCUCAGCACUUCCCCUGCUCCCAAGCUGCCGUUGGGAACCAGCACAGUGAUGGAGAAUCCCACGGGACACCCUUCUUCUGUUGGCACUGCUUCAGCUCUCAGGGGUGAGGAAAGAACCCACAGCCCUGCUUCACACCAAAAAAAAACCCACAGAGUCCAAGGGUGCCCCUCACCUGGAUGCCUGGACCCAUUCCCAGCCCUUCUGCCCUUGAAGACGUGAGCCAGGAUGUCCAAUCCAAUUUAAAUUGCUGCAGCAAGAAGAGCUCUUUUCUUUCAUCUUUUUUUUUCUUUUUCCCACCCUUUUUUCAUUGACACAACAAACCAAACAGGGCCAACGCUGACCCUUGACCAGCGCUCCGUCAUGAUGUUUUUUUCUCACGGUCAAACCAAGAACCUCGGGUUCUUGCAUAACCAGGUACUUGGGAAAAGAAAGAUUUCUUUCUUUCUUUAAAACACACCCCUGUUCUGGCUCCUCCAGCUUCCCGCUUUCCCCUUUCACAACCUGGCAGGGUUUGGUAGCCUUCUCAGUGAAAGAGACACGUCUUGUAGCCCCAAGGACCACUAAAAAGAAGGAGAAGGAGAAAGGAGACUCCCCGGAUCCCAUCACCAGCUGCAGACACAUGUGUUGGUGGAAGGGGAAGGGACGGGGAGGAAAGAGGAUGGUGCCUCUGGUCACGUGCAGGACCCCGUUUUUGAGGAAUUGAAAGCGUGUUAAAUCUGCAAGAUUUCAAACAAAAAAACCAAACCCAAGGAUGCUUCUGCAUUUUAGGAAGCGGCCGUUGCAGUCAUGCCCCUGAGGGCUGGGCAGGCUUGCAGGAGGCUCUCGAGGGAGUCCUGGGGGUGAUAGCCAUCCCUGCAGCCAUCGGGGGGAAAAUUGGGGCACACUGGGCACGGGUUUGGCCCACGACUGGGUGGGGAGCAGGGAUCCCAGCCUCAUCCCAGAGCCUGCUGCCUUUGCCCUGGCAGCCAUGGGGUGAGGAACUAGUGAGGUUUGGGCUUUGUUUAGCAUUUGUCUGUUUGGGGGCGAGGGGGACUUAUCACCAAACCUUGGUGGUUUUGGUAGAUCUGUGUAUUUCUUUGGUGCAUUUCUGGUGGGGGAAUCCCCCGUGACACAGGGUCGGGGUAUCUGCGGGACUGCAGCCAACACCAGAUGAGCCACCUUCGCUCACCGUGGAGGCAGGUCCUCUCUGUCUCAGGGCCUGGCUCCACAGAGAAGAGCUGCUGUGUGUCAAUCCCAAUUUUCUUCCCAGUGCAGAGGGCCUUUUUACUCCCCCACUGGAAGGGGACCAAGCCGCGCUGCAGAAGAACGCUUGGUGCAGGACAAGGCAAAGGGGGCUUCUGCAGCUUUGAACUCAGUCCCCAGUGCUGUGCAGGAGCUCCAUGAGGAGCUCCACUUCUUCCUAAAUUCCUUAAUUUUAACUUCUUUUCAAACAGCUUUUUACAUGUGCAGCUGAGGAGAUAUCUGGUAUUGGGGAAAGGUGGGAAGAUUUUGGACAACAUAUUGACAAGCAUCUUAUAAACAAAUGUAAUGACCCAGUGUCCAUAGAAGGAGUGGUGUCAAAGUCUGACACUUGCUGGGAAAGCCUCUCUCAGCCUGAUGAUACUGCUUGGGAAUGGGCAUGCGUGAGUCUCGUGCUGCCCAGAGCAAAGGUCCAAAGAUCAGGAUCUUAAUCAGAGGAACAAAGCUCCAGUCACUCAAAGACUUCAGCCCUGCCCAGAGCUCCCAAACAACUCAGGUCCUUGGGAAUGGGAAAACCCCAGCAGAGAUUUGCUGGACUCCCAGAGGAUUACAGAAUGACUAAACCUGUUAGGUCACCCAAAUGAUCUGCUUCCUUUUAUGGUCAAAAUCAAGCGUCAGAAUCACAGGUUUCCUCUUUCCUUAGAACUGGGCUUUCUUGAUACCACAAAUCCUUCUUGCAAUGCUAAAAUUAAAUGUCUGAAAGCA